rnacentral:rRNA from 1 species
AACGAACGCUGGCGGCAGGCCUAACACAUGCAAGUCGAACGCCCUAGCAAUAGGGAGUGGCGCACGGGUGCGUAACGCGUGGGAAUAUACCCUUCACUGCGGAAUAACGUUUGGAAACGAACGCUAAUACCGCAUAAUGACUCCGGUCCAAAGAUUUAUCGGUGAAGGAUUAGCCCGCGUUAGAUUAGCUAGUUGGUGAGGUAAUGGCUCACCAAGGCUACGAUCUAUAGCUGGUCUGAGAGGAUGAUCAGCCACACUGGGACUGAGACACGGCCCAGACUCCUACGGGAGGCAGCAGUGAGGAAUAUUGGACAAUGGGGGCGAACCCUAGAUCCAGCCAUGCCGCGUGAGUGAAG